CUCAUAUAUCUGUCUUCACCUUUACUGCCCCUCCAACAGCUUCAGGUGGCAGCUUUUCAACCCAAUGUAGCAUGGGAUGGUGAUCAUCAUGCAACUUGCGAAAGCUCGGCGCUUAAUCAAUGUGAUGUUGGUGAUCAUGUUUGUGUUGAAGAUGCCUCGAGG